rnacentral:rRNA from 1 species
AACGAACGCUGGCGGCAUGCCUAACACAUGCAAGUCGAACGAUGCCUUCGGGCAUAGUGGCGCCCGGGUGCGUCACGCGUGGGAAUCUGCCUUUCGGUUCAGCAUAACUCAGGGAAACUUGAGCUAAUACCGGAUAACGUCGCAAGACCAAAGAUUUAUCACCGAAAGAUGAGCCCGCGUAGGAUUAGCUAGUUGGUGAGGUAAAGGCUCACCAAGGCGACGAUCCUUAGCUGGUCUGAGAGGAUGAUCAGCCACACUGGGACUGAGACACGGCCCAGAAUCCUACGGGAGGCAGCAGUGGGGAAUAUUGGAAAAUGGGCGAAAGCCUGAUCCAGCAAUGCCGCGUGAGUGAUGAAGGCCUUAGGGUUGUAAAGCGCUUUUACCCGGGAAGAUAAUGACGGUACCGGGAGAAUAAGCCCCGGCUAACUCCGUG